GGUUCAGCAGGGGCCCCUGGCAAGGACAGUGGGUGCAGCUAACAGCCUGCUGUGCCUGGCAGUGAGGCAGCUGGAGGUUGGAAGCUCAGAGU